GAUCACCUUACAAUCCAAUGGCUCAGAUCACUCCCCAACGUCCCACGCGGCCACGCAACGAUCCCCUUUUGGUUUCUGCGCUCUCUCCCUCUGAAUCCCCUGAUUCCCCGAUCCCAUUCCCUUCCCCUUGCGAACUCUAGCGUCUUCCUCUCAAGCGCCGCCGCAGUCGUGUUGCCCCCUGAUCAUCCGCCGCCAGAUCGCCGUCUUUGCUGUCCUCUUAGGUGCAGCCGCUGCGCACACCCACGGUGCGCACCUCCCUUCCCCGGUUCCCCUGCCCAGUGCUGCCCCCCUCCCUUCACCGUGCAAAACCCUAAGCGCCGCCACUACAAGCAGGUACCUUUGCCGCCAGGAGAUCGCCCUCAUGUCACCUCGCUGCCGUCUCACCAGAUCAUCGACGCACCGCCUCGCCAUACCGGUCCGGCGUCGACUCUGCACACGCUUCAGAUGUGUAGAGAAUCUGAUAAAGAUAUUUGGGAAGAGAUGGUAGGUGCAUUUAAAACAAUGGCAAGGAGCCAAGGAGGUUCAGAGGUUGCUUAACUUGAUGAACCUAUUGGAAAGGGUGACAAAGAUUUCAGCAGGUUUUUACUUGUUUUGAGCUUAAUCCAUAUGGGAACUGUUACAGUAAACUGAAAUUCGCAUUUGUAAUUCACAUGUAAACCAUUGUCAUGACAGUGAAACUACUGGCCAUUUUGCUGGUAUAGUGAUAUUAGGGCCAUACAUGAAUUAUAGUUCAGUCUUUUUUUAUGAACUUUGGCGAUGAAGUUUAGAUCUCUUCCUGUUACUGUAUUGAAGCUACAAUGAUUUCAAAAAUUUUGGAUCUCAAUUCUUUUUCUGAUGGUAGCAGUAUACAUGUCAUUUUGCUGGUUUUUUUUUCUUUUUUUUUUUUUUGCUUUAAGGGGAUCAGGGCAGGACAGAAGGAACACUAUGACCAUGUCCCCAUGGCCCAUGUCCAUGUACGCAUCAAGCUCCUAAGUGAUAAUCUGAUUGCCUGCUGAUCCCAGGCGCCGGUGAAAUCAACCUUGACCCAUCAAUGAUGGUCAUCCCCCAUUGACGAUCACAUGGUCCACAGAGAUCAUGGUGUCUUGGACACCAUCAUUAUUUCUGACGGUUUAAGCUUUGUCUCCACAAUUUUUUAUCUCUGUAUUUGCUUCUGAUGGUUUAUACUUCAGAGUUCGGAACUGAAUGUUCAUACUCUAGAUGAUCAUGUACUUGAAAUUUUGCACAUUUGGUACUGAAUCUGCACUCAAAGUGGGUUUCUUGAUUUGGUUAGGUACAUUGUAUAAGCUAGGUUCGCAUUUUGUACAAUUGAUUAAAGAAUAUGGUUUGUCUAUUUGCGUAGCUUCAAAUGAAUGAUGUUUAACGCUAUUCUGUCUGUAAAUCUACAGAGCAAUAUAUUUGAUUGAAUUUAGUUUA
rnacentral:lncRNA from 1 species